GUAGAAACCAAACCAUUAGUUUUAUCUUCGUUUUUGUUUUUUUUUUUUUUUUUUUUUACAGUUUUCUAUUUGCGAUUUUGUUUUUCCGGCCAACUUUUUAUAAUGCGGUAUCUAAUAUAAUUAUAACCAGAGAAGGUUCCCCCGCGUUGUGGGGGUUAGAAGCCUUCAAUAUUUAUGGUAUGUAUAACCGAAAUGUAUUUUUGGGGUACCAUAGAGGCGAGUGAGGUACCUGGAACAAACGACAUCAUCUCAUCUGAAAUUAACCAAACAUAAAAUGGGUAUUGAAUUGAUUUUAAGGAAGGAGAAGAGAGAAGCACCUGGUAACGUAUGCAGGACUAAAUUCAAAUAUCAUCUGAACCAACCAAAUUACGGUUCAAUUUGUCUAAUGUCAUAAUUAAAUUCAAAUAAUUAAAUCGGCUAAAAUAGUCGUCAGUUUAGUCGGCUGCGAUAUGGCCGAAAUCGAAGAAGGCUAUUGUCGAUCAAUCUCAGAAGUCGUUGGGGGUGUCAUGAGCAAGAAAUGAUGAAAACUGAAAGAGUCGGUGUAAGGGAUAGGAAAAAAGGAGUGAGAAACACAUCUAAUUGGGAGCAGGGGAGGUGGAAGAGGGGACAUAACACAUGUGCAGGACACUAAUUCAGGCAUUGACCACAGAGUAAAAUAAAAACCAAUGACAAAAUAUUAACCGGGAUGUAAAAAUAAUUUGACCAAGGGUUAAAGUUAACAAAACACACAAACAUAAAAGUCAAGAGGCUAAAGUGAAAAAUGGGCUACUUUUACUGUUCAUAAAGGGGGUUUAAAAUUUAUAUGUAUAUAUAAUUUAUGGAAGAAAAAAAAAACACGAUUCACUCCUUUCUAUCUAUACUAGUCUGGUACUGUGGUUGGUUUGGUGCCUAUACCGAUAGGGUUUCACCAUCUUCACUCUGAAGUGGUAAAACCAAAAGAAUGCAGUGAAAAUUAGGGUUUACAACUAAAUAGUUAGAUUGUCGUCUGAUUGAAACAAUGGCAUAGCUUCCCACAUCGGUGGCUGGAACUUAAGCUUUUGAUUUUAUAGUGCUUCGCCUUCGAUUAUAGUUCGUCCCUUCGGGGACAUCCGAUAAAAUUGGAACGAUACAGAGAAGAUUAGCAUGGCCCCUGCGCAAGGAUGACACGCACAAAUCGAGAAAUGGUCCAAAUUUUUUUUUGCCCUAAUUCGAUCGAUUGCUGCAUCUCUUUUUCAGAUUCGGUCCAGAAAGCAAUUUCUGAUGCUUAUAUGGGAUUCACAAAACAAACGCUAUGAUCAUUGCUAAUGAUUAUAAUGGAAUAUGCUAAGCUCCUUGUCUGAAUAGUCUGGUAGAAUCAGUUAAUAAUCAGGCAUCGACUUUAUUAUACAACUGUCUUUUUUAGAGGUGGAUAUGAGGGGUUUUCUAUUUCUGUUUGAUGUAGUUAUUGUCUUCAAUAGCUUCUGUUGGUUUCCUUUGUUCUUAAUUGGAAUUGGUGCAACUUCUGGGUGUAUCAUGUGUGUUUGAUAGCAAUUAACAAUCACAAACUGUCUAAAGUUGUAUACUUUAACAUACUUUACUGGUUUUCGUUGGCAUUUCAACAAGUAUAA